UUUUGCACUCAUCGGGGAAGGGUGAGAACCUUCGACUAAGGUUCGAUUCGAGCGAAAGCGAGAGAACGUUGCCACAGGCAACGGCCCGAAGGGUGAGGAGCGAAGCGACGAAUAAUCCUUCCCCCACCACCA
rnacentral:sRNA from 1 species